rnacentral:rRNA from 1 species
CCUGAACGCUGGCGGCGUGGCUAAGACAUGCAAGUCGUACGGUGUAGCAAUACACAGUGGCGAACGGGAGAGUAAUGAAUCGCUAAUGUGCCCCGGACUUUGGGAUAGCUAUCCGAAAGGAUAGGUAAUACCAGAUGAUAUACCUUUAUCGCAUGAUAGAGGUCUCAAAGGUCCGCCGGUCUGGGAGCAGGCGAUUUCGUAUCAGCUAGUUGGUGAGGUAACGGCUCACCAAGGCGACGACGCGUAGCCGGACUGAGAGGUUGGCCGGCCUCAUUGGGACUGAGACACUGCCCAGACUCCUACGGGGGGCUGCAGUAACGAAUCUUCCGCAAUGCAACGAAAGUGUGACGGAGCGACGCCGCGU